rnacentral:rRNA from 1 species
GACAGAGGCCUCAAGCGUUAGGCGGAAUCACUGGGCUUAAAGCGUGUGUAGGCGGAUCGUUCAGUACCUUGUGAAAUCCCACGGCUCACCCGUGGAACUGCUGGGUAUACUGGCGGUCUUGGGCCAACUAGGGGCAGCUGGAACAAGCGGUGGAGCGGUGAAAUGCGUAGAUAUCGCUUGGAACGCCGAAGGUGAAAACAGGCUGCUGGGGUGGUGCCGACGCUGAGACACGAAAGCCAGGGGAGCGAACGGG